CAGUCGAACGGAGUUACGAUGAAACCUAGUGAUUCGUAACUUAGUGGCGGACGGGUGAGUAACGCGUGGAUAACCUGCCUUGCACUGGGGGAUAACACUUAGAAAUAGGUGCUAAUACCGCAUAAGCGCACGGAGCCGCAUGGCUCAGUGUGAAAAACUCCGGUGGUGUAAGAUGGAUCCGCGUCUGAUUAGCUGGUUGGCGGGGUAGAAGCCCACCAAGGCGACGAUCAGUAGCCGGCCUGAGAGGGUGAACGGCCACAUUGGGACUGAGACACGGCCCAAACUCCUGCGGGAGGCAGCGGUAGGGAAUUUUCGUCAAUGGGCGCAAGCCUGAACGAGCGAUGCCGCGUGAGUGAAGAAGUCAUUCGUGAUGUAAAGCUCUAUCAGCAGGGAAGAAAAUGACGGUACCUGAGUAAGAAGCCCCGGCUAACUACGUGCCAGCAGCCGCGGUAAUACGUAGGGGGCAAGCGUUAUCCGGAUUUACUGGGUGUAAAGGGAGCGUAGACGGCCAGACAAGUCUGAAGUGAAAAUCCAGCGCUUAACGUUGGAAGUGCUUUGGAAACUGCCGGGCUAGAGUGCAGGAGGGGCAGGCGGAAUUCCUAGUGUAGCGGUGAAAUGCGUAGAUAUUAGGAGGAACACCAGUGGCGAAGGCGGCCUGCUGGACGAUGACUGACGUUGAGGCUCGAAAGCGUGGGGAGCAAACAGGAUUAGAUACCCUGGUAGUCCACGCCGUAAACGAUGACUACUAGGUGU
rnacentral:rRNA from 1 species